rnacentral:misc_RNA from 1 species
UCCGGUUUGUCACCGGCAGUCUGAAGUGAGUCCCCAACUUAAUGCUGGCAACACUUCACGGGGGUUGCGCUCGUUGCGGGACUUAACCCAACAUCUCACGACACGAGCUGACGACAACCAUGCACCACCUGUGAACCGGCCCCAAAAGGAGAAACCACAUCUCUGCGGCGGUCCGGUCCAUGUCAAGCCUUGGUAAGGUUCUUCGCGUUGCAUCGAAUUAAACCACAUGCUCCACCGCUUGUGCGGGCCCCCGUCAAUUCCUUUGAGUUUCAGCCUUGCGGCCGUACUCCCCAGGCGGAAUGCUUAAUGCGUUAGCUGCGCCACCGACGAGCAAGCUCGCCAACGGCUGGCAUUCAUCGUUUACGGCGUGGACUAC